rnacentral:rRNA from 1 species
UAACCUAAGAGUUUGAUCCUGGCUCAGAACGAACGCUGGCGGCAUGCCUAACACAUGCAAGUCGAACGCUAUCUUGUAUAGAGUGGCGCACGGGUGAGUAACGCGUGGGAACCUGCCUUUCUCUGCGGGACAACGGUUGGAAACGACCGCUAAUACCGCAUACGCCCUACGGGGGAAAGGUCAGCCGGAGANAGAGGGGCCCGCGUUAGAUUAGCUAGUUGGUGGGGUAAUGGCCUACCAAGGCGACGAUCUAUAGCUGGUCUGAGAGGAUGAUCAGCCACACUGGGACUGAGACACGGCCCAGACUCCUACGGGAGGCAGCAGUGGGGAA